UACGGAGGAGGCAAGCGUUAUCCGGAAUUACUGGGCGUAAAGGGCGCGUAGGCGGCACGACAAGUCGGGAGUGAAAGCCCGGGGCUCAACCCCGGAAUGUCUCUCGAAACUGUCGAGCUAGAGUGCAGAAGAGGCAACUGGAAUUCCCAGUGUAGCGGUGAAAUGCGUAGAUAUUGGGAAGAACACCUGAGGCGAAGGCGGGUUGCUGGGCUGACACUGACGCUGAGGCGCGAAAGCCAGGGGAGCGAACGGG
rnacentral:rRNA from 1 species